CACCAGCAAGAGUGUCUGGAGAAGCUGCAGUUUAUGAACCUUGCUCUAAAAAAUUUUUAACACGUUUGUCUCCAUCAAACUCCUUUAGUUAGUUGGGGACUGUGUGAAGUUUAGAGAAAUUAGUCAAGAUAGGGUGCUGGAGCAAGUCAGUCACUCAGGGUCACCCAGUGAGCCAUGCUGAGACAGCCGGGCCAGCAGACUUUCUGUCUCCUGUAGAAAUCAUUAGGUCCUACUUCCUCCCUCCCCAGUUGCUGAGGACACUUCUGCCUGGUGGGAUGGGAUUGCCAAGCACUGUAGUACUGGGGAGGCUCAGUGUUUUAAUGAACCACAAUGUGUUUGGAGGUUCUCUUCUCUACUUCCUGGUGCCAAUAUCUCAGUACCACAUCCCAUUGCCCCAGCCCUUUCUCAUUUUAUUGUCUUUCCCUUUGAAAGCUACAACUCUUGAUUUUGUUUCAUUGAUCUUUGCUUGGUCCAACUUACAGGUGGCUCCAUUUCCUUUAUACUCAUAAAAGUGUGAAAUUGCAGCUGGUCUGGAGGAUCUCCUGGCCUUAAGAGGGCAUCAGAGGUAGGUACACUGCGUAGAAAGUCAGGCUGCCAGUCUUAGUAAGUGAAGAAGGUGUCACAAAAAACAAAAUGAAAGGCUGCUUGAAGUCAAUAACUGGCUGGGCUGAGUAUCUGUCCUUGUUACAUAGUGCAGUGUUCAGGCUAAAUCAUUCAUUGUUAUUUAUAAUAAUAGCUACCAUUUAGUGAGUUCUUUUCUGGGCCAGACACUGUCGCAGUUGCUUUUUACUUUAUCUUAUUUACUUCUUAACAGCACUGAUUUUAUUAGUGCAUUCUCUGUUUUAUUGCUUAGGAAUCAGAGAGUUAAAUACUAUGCCCAAGGUCACACCCUAAUAAAUGAGAAGCUAGGAUUUAAAAAAUACCCAGGUCUGGCAGACUUUACACCUCUGCUCUCAACCUCUCCUCUCCAGCUCUACUGAUUCCACUUUGUACUGGUGAAUAAUAUCCCCUACCCAUCCCCUCCCCACAAACACAUAUGGUAUGGCCUUGGGACAAAAGAAUUUGCCUUUUUUAGACCUCAUUUUGUAUAGUUUGCAAAGUGCAGUGUAUAGUGAGGGAAGGAGGACUGAGGACAGCAGUGAAAUCCUCUUUUGACCUGAAACUUCACUUUUGGAAGGAGAAGACUAUUAGAUUGCUUUAUCUCCUUUAUUCCAAGGCCGUAAAUAAUGAAAUCACCAGGAGAGGCAAAACCAUGGCUUCUUUUGCCAUAGUCUUAGAAUCUCAAAAGUCGGCCAACUCUAGCACUGAGUCUAUAAUUUAAUUAAACAUCUUGAAGGCAGCUUGACAUUAGGCCAGCUUCAUAUUCUUGGAAAGGGACUGCAAAAAGAGUUCGUCUGUUUUUAUAGUUCAUUUACUGAGUUGAGCCAUCAUGGCCACGGCAUACCAUUUGCCUUACAAAAAUGGCCUACAACCUUCACACAAUUUUAGGGAGUCUGUUGCAACUAACUCAUUUAACUAGAGCUCAGCCAUCUGUCAGCUUCACCUAUCCCUAUUUCUUAAACAUGAAAUCUACACAGAUGGUUUGACGAUUAGUAAUUGAGGCAGAACUGGAAAAAUCUGAAACCUUUGCUGAGGCUGUUCAAAAAUGACUGAGUUCCCUGGUGGCCUAGUGGAUUAAAGAUCUGUCGUCACUGCUGUGGUUCAGGUUGCUGCUGUGGCACGGGUUCAGUCCCUGGCUCAGGAACUUCUUCAUGCCAUGGGUAUAUCCAAAAAAACAAAAAUAAAACUGACUGAGAACUAAGAAAUCAGUAAACAAGACGGCUGACCAGUUGAAAUAAAUAUCAUGAAGCAAACUCAUAAGAAAAAGGCCAUCUAUCUACCCAUAAAGCACCAUACUCAGAACCUAUUUAUUCCUACUUCACACAUAAUUCUAAAGGUUUGCAUCUGGUUUCUGAGCCUACAGCAGAUUAAGGGUAAGAAACAGAUUUCUAGCGGAAACUUAGGUCAAGAUGGAAAAAGAGCUGACAGCAAUAGAGAAGACAAAAAAAAAAAAAAAAAGUUAAAGUAGGCUAAAGAACCCAAAAAGCACUGUUUUAGGGAGGCAUUUAGUGUCAAAAAUAGCUCUCUACACAUCUCAAUUCUUCUUUCCUAACAUCGUAGGACCAUACAAUUAUAUUUAAAAUGAUGGCCCUGGGCAUCACACCUGAAGAAAUUAAAUUAUGCCCAGAAGAAAGUAAGGAUUUUCAUAUCAAACAUUUUAGAAAUAUUUAUAUCACCAAUGAUGAAAACAAACAAAAAGAAACAAAUUUCCCUUUUAGGGACUAAAGGAAUAAACCUUUCGACUAUCCAGAACAUUUAGCUAAACAAAACAAAACAUCUUCCUACCUGAGGUUUUUUUGGUUCCAGGAACGUCUUGUGUUUAGAGAAUUUUUUUUUAAAAAAAAAAAAGCUUUGUAAGUGACUUUCAUGCUACAGUGCUUUGCAUAUAAUGGCAUGAACAAUGGAAGUGCCAAGUUUUCAAUGUGAUGAAUAAAACUAAUAACCAGAGUACAGGUCAAAUUCUGUUACAACAAAUACUGCUACUAUAAAAAUCACUUAAGCAUCCCUGUUAUCUCUAAGCCCCUGUCAAUUGCCCAUUUAUUUGAAGCAAUAGUCAUUAUAGCAAAAUUGGGGUUAUAACAAAAAGAAACUGGACCCUCACCACAAGUUGGAUGUAACACAAUUUAACCUGGAAUAACAGAUUCUCACUUGUAUUUCUCCAGUUUUUUGCUGCAAGAAGAAUAAAUCUUAUGCAGACAUAAUGCCAGCCUGGAAAGCUGGUAUUUAGUAGUUGUUGCUAGGAGAAGAAAGAAUCCAGAAGCAAAGGACACAUGGAGCUGUGUGGCAGACCCUCACUAGUGAAUUUGGUCUCCAGGGCCACUUUUGACCUUAAUCCACAUUGGAGCCAUCAACCACAGAAUCACUUGCUUCUAAUAGUGAGGUAAUGCUUAUAUUAAGCCCUAGAAUGAAAACAUGAUUCAUUUCCCAUGGAUCAUUGAGCACUUUGUGGCAACCUGGGCCUGAUCCGAUGACCCCAAGAUAAAGAAAUUUAGAAGCAUGUGACUGGAACUGUCCUUUCUCCUAAGAUGCACUGCUUUCGACACUGCCUGAUUGUAAAAGCACACGCCACGUUGCUUCUAUGUAGAAAUGAUCCAAGUUAAUCAGCUGCAUUCCCUUUGCAAGGAUUUUCCAUGCCUCUCCAUCUUUUGCUUGUGGUAAUGAUGAAUUUCAUCAUUUGCUACAGGUUUUCUCUUUUUUCUACUUUCUUUUUGUCUUUCUCUUUCUUUGACCUAAUUACUUCUUAAUGACACUGCAACCACUACUUUGUAGCACCCGUAACAACAGAAGGGAUUAAAUCACAGUUCAUAUCUGAACAGUACAAUCAGCAAUAAUAGGAAAAGGAGUGGGGAGGGAGAGGGAAAUUGUCCACCUUUACCUGAAGAUCAUGCCUGGCUCAGACCCCAGAUUCACAUCAUACUCUGAAGAAGUUCAUAAAUUCUGGGCUCUGCUCAGCCUGAGGAGGCAGGCAGUAGUAUCCCAUCCUCAGGGUGAGAUGAGCGGUCUGUUGAAGUCACGCCGUUACAGAAUACAUCCUCCCCUGCUUGCUUUCCCUUCCCAAGCCAGCGUGUAGUUGAACAUCGACAUGUCCCAGGCCAGGAGGUCAGGUGGUAAAGAGCUUGAAUGCUUUGCCUGGCUCUGGAAAACGUUGCGUCGGAGUGAGGUGCUCUGGCUUGCAGGCGGCCAUUUGCUGCCUCACCGUUUUUAGCAGGAUAUCUGGAGAUUACAGGCGUUAAUUGAAAGUAACUUCUCUGUAUUUGGUUUCUCUCCACACAUUCAGGCUUCUGGGACCUUUGACCCAGUUGGAUGGCUGUAUCCUAGUAUCAAAUAUAGCGUUUUCCAAAUGGGAAGAACCAUGAUAGACAAGACACAGGCGCAUCAUCCAAAGGAGCUCAUGGACACACACGUGCCUGGAAGAGGCUGUCACCUGAGUGGUCCCCAGUUCUUACCAUGAUGUUGCGCACCUAUCGAGGGCUUCUGUUUCUAGGAAUGCUCAACACAUACGGCCUUGAACUGGAUUUACCCACCAUCUCAUUUCAGUCUCAUGAAGUGGCUUAGAAGAGAGCCCUUAUCCACCAUGCUGGCAGCCUCAUCUUGGACUUCCACCCUCCAGAACUGAGGGCAGUACAUUUCUGCUGUUGGUAAGCAUCCCAGUCUGGCAUCUUGUGACAGCAGCCCAGAGGGCCUACAGCGAGCAUUGAGAAGAUUUCCUCAUCUGCGGAAACCUACCUCCCAAAGGUGUUCACUGCCAGUCACACUGCAUGUGCCCCCUGGUUCUCACUUAAGCACUGCAGAGGAGCAGCUCAGCCUGUGGGUUUUGGAGACAGAUGAACAAAGAGGCGAUGUUUGGUACCAUGAGACAAGAAGCCUGCACUCUAAGGAUGGCAGCGCGAAGAGAGACAGAAGAGAAUUUGUUCAUAUGAUGUCAUUGAGCUUCCACAUCAGUCCAGACUGCUUAACUCUGGAUUUGUAUAAGCCCCCUCUUUGUUUAAGACACAGGGCCUUCUCAUAUCAGCUGGAGUGAUCAUUUGAAAAUAAAAUCAGACUGUGGCGAUCUAUGCUUCAAUACUCUGUGUUCAUUUGUAAGGACUGCUACAGACUGUGUGGCUUCAAUAACAGAAGUUAAAUUUUCCCAUGGUUUUGGAGGCUGAAGGUCAAGAUCAAGAUAUCAGCAGAUAAUAUCUCCAAGACCUAAUCAUAGUAGUGCUGCACAUAACACCCCAAAAAAAGUUUGAAAAAAAAAAUGAAAAGAAUGAGUGAAAGAAAUGAAAUAGAAUGGAAUAAAAUGAAUUGAAUGAAUGAAAAUUUAAAAUGAAAGAAAACCCCAUGCAAGUAAGAAAAAAAUUCUUUUUCAUGCCUCUAUGACCUUUGUUCUCAAUUCCAAUGUUUGACCUAAGAGUUAACCAUUUAUCUUCUGGAAGCUCAUCAAACAUCCCAGAACAUUUAGUUAAAAAUCUCUCCCAGGUCGUCAUCAACUGGUUCCAAAUGCAAGAACCCAGAAACUUGCAAAGAUUUUCCCCCAUUUAUCUUCUUUCUCACCUGCAGCUGACAGCCCCAAGUAAAGGUGCACCCCAGAACUUUGACAGUGAAAUAAUUGAGUAUGCAAAUAAAUCAUUUUAUUAUGGGUAAAGAAAUUCAGAUCAUUUGAAGAAAAGAACAUGGGAGAGGGAAUGUAUACAAAAAUUAUGUGCUCUUCAAACCAACUGCCCCAGUGUAUGUUUCUCUGCAAUUCUGAGUUGACCCAUUGCUCUAGCCCUCGUGGCAGCUUCUAGAAUUGCAGGUAAGGAAGAGAAAAUGGGAAGUAAAGAGAACCAACAUUUUUUAAAGAUUCAGCAACUAUUUUAGUGGACUCAAAAUAUAGCUACCUCCCCUUGGGGAAAUCAAACCUCAGUCUCCAGCAAAACAGGAUCUGGACGUACCAUUCUGCAAAGGCAGAUCAAUACAUUCUUUGUUCUGGUCCUAUAGAUGCAUUUGAUGCAGAACAUCUGUUUGAAUCCUCACAAAAACAUGCAGGAAAGAAAUCUAUCCAGAGGAAGCUGAGGCUCAGAGACACGAAGUAUUCUCAGAAGUUAAAGGGGGCAGGAUUUGAACCUAGGUCAGGCUGACUCUAAACCCUGUGAUCUUCCCAGUACUGACCAAAGGGUAUAAACUUUGCAAGUUCAACUCAUUUCAGCCCACAUUGAAUUUCCCAAGUCUCUGGAAUUUGAAUUUCCCUGCCAGUUAUAGCCUCAUUAAUUCAAUGGCCUUUAUCGAUUGCCUCCUUGGUGCCAAGAACUGUGCUCUGCCUGUGGCUUCCUGAGAAUGAUGAGUGAACGAUCAUAAUGAUAAAACUUAAAUGGCAAGAAAGCAACUCCUAAGGGUGUCAGAGCUCUUCCUCAAAUUGAGUUACUUUCUCACUAUUGAAUAAAUUGUAAUUUGAAAAGCUGGUAAAAGUACCUUCUUUUGGUGCGCCAAGCCAAUCAAUAUGUGCCAUUUAAAAUUCUCCUUUCUGCUUUUCUCCUAUUCAGGCGGGCUGGAGAAAAAGCAAGCAUUUAAGGGCUGAAAUUACUGAGCUGUAUUUCUUAAUGGAGUGAUUUUUUUGCAGUGAUUUGUUUCUGAAGAAUAGGCAGUCAAGGGCCAGCUAAGUAGACGGCUUUCCUGCAGAGAGGGGAAGACGGGGCUUGCCUGGUGCCUGUCCACUGGUGGGGGCGGGGGGGAAGGGGGAACAGCCCUGCAGGAAUCCGCUUGGAGAUGCAGCCUCUCCUACUGGCCCCAGGGACCAUCCCUGACAGUUGUCCUAUUUAUUGAUCGACCACAAAAGCAGAUUUCUAGAACAGUAGGUACCUGUUAUAGGACACACAUACAAAACUUGGGAAUUCUGGCUCCAAAAUCUUCAAAGGGCUAUUUCUGCCUGGUGGAAUUUUGCAUGCCUUUCCCCCCUUUUUGAUCCUCUGUAAUGCCGCAUUUUUUCUUCUAGAGUCUUGUGCCCCUUAAUAGAUGUCCUCAGGGUACUCCACAGCCCCUUUUACUCUCUUUUCACAUUCCCUCCACCUUCUCUUUACCCUUUCAUUCCUUUUUUCAAAGUGAUGUUUUAAAAAAAUAAAAAUGUUCUCCCUCCCCCAUCUUCUUUCCACCUAACAGGGGUGAGAAUAUCCCCCCCACCCCAUGCUGCCCUCUCUCUUCUCUCCCCUCCCUCCCUCCCUCCUCACAGCCUCCCUGGGAAUGCUGGGGUUCCCGAGUAUGAAAGGCAUUUCUCCCUCCCUCAGCCAUAUGCCCGUCAAUCAGGUCCCCUAGCUGUGUCACUUAGGAAGGGACUGCCCAUGGGCACGAGCAAGGGUGAACAGCAGGAGCAAGGGUGGCGUGUGGGAAUAAGGCCAUGAAUCUAUCCUGCACGAUUUCCUUUUCCUGAGCUCCAGGAAGAGUGGGGCUGAGUCAAGUGGCCAGGACCGCAGAUCCGCAGGAUGACCUUUGAAGCCCAGGGAUGUUCAGGGACUUGCCGGUUUCUUCAUUUGUCAGGAGGAGAGAAUAAUGUCUCUGCCUCUCAGGUGCGUAAUGAGGAUCAGAUGAAAUAAUGGAUGUGAAAGUGUUCUAAAAGGUCAGAGUGCUGCAGAAUGAAUCACCAGGCCUAGUAAGUCUCACUUCUUCAUUUCUUUCCUAUCUGUCUUCUCUCAGCUUUCCUGGAGCCUUUGCUAAUCUAGGCCAUCAUCAUCUUAGCCCUGCUCUUUCAGUCUUCCUGUCUUUACUCUUUCCUCACCUUAGUCCCACCUAUACACGAAUGCCCAGUAACAUUCCCAAACCCCACUUGUCAGCAAGGUGCAAUUCCUCAACACAGAUUCUUUUCAACCAAAACUCCAAAUCCUUAACUUAGGGGUGGGAGGCAAAAUUCUAAAAAUAACCUGAUGGCACUGAUCCUUGGAAAAUCCAUUCUCCUUUGAGUGUUGGUGGAAUCUGUUAACGAGAUGAACCAUUGCUCCCAUAAUUAGGCAAGACAGCAAAAGGGGGAUUAUCUAGGUGGACCCAAUUUAAUCAUAUAAGCCUGUUAAAAGCAGAGAGUUUUCUCUAGCUGGUAGCAGAAGAGGAAAUCAGAGAUUAGAAGCAUGGGGAGGAUUCAACAAUAGCCAGCAAGGAAGCAGGAACUUCAGUCUCCCAAACAUAAGGAGCCCAAUCCCACCGGCAACCUGAAGGAGCCUAGAUGCUGAUUUUUCCCCAGAGCCUCCUGGUAAGAGGCCAAUCUGACCAACACUGUGAGUUCAGCCUCAUGACCCUUGGUUAAACCACUCUGACCUCCAGAACUAUGAUAUAAAUAAAUAUCCUUUUAAUCUGCUAAAUUUUUAGCAAUUAGUUAUGCAAUGUCUUAGUUCAAGCUGCUUUAACCAAAUACCAUAGACUAGGUGGUUUAAACAAUGGAAAGUUAUUGUUCACAGUUCUGGAAGCUAGGAAGUCCGAGAUCAGGGUGCCAGCAUGGUCAAGUUCUGGUAAGGAGCCUUUUCCGGGUUUGCAUAUGGCUGUCCUCUUGCAUGUCCUACGAGGUGGAGAGAGAUCAUCUCUCUGGCCCUGUCUUCUUGGGGGGGCAUGAAUCCCAUUCAUGAAGGCUCCCACUCUCAUGCCCUCAAAGCCCCCACCUCCCAAUACCACCCAUUGAGGGGUAGGGCUGAAACAUAUGAAAAAGCAAUAGAAAAUUAUUACAUUUGGUAUUUCAAGGCCUUAAGGGUUCUUAUUCAUCCUACACCUCCAAUCCAUCUCUCAAAUAUAAGCUCUGGAGUGAUCUAUCACUUGCUGGCCAGUUAAUGGCAUCUAUUCUUCAUUUGUAUAUUUAGGAUAUUGUUAGAACCUUCCUCAUGAGCUUUUCGGGAGGAUUAAAUUAGAUAAUCCAGCAAAAAGUAAAUGCUGGGUAAAUUAUUUUUUUCUUUAUGCUAUUAUUAUAUUCUCUGCAGAUGUUCCUCUUACGUCAAGUGGGUUUAUUUAUUAACCUGGGAAAAUACACUCUUUUCUUGGCUCACAUCAUGCCCCUUCCUCUAGCUGCUCUACAUCUCAAAUACCCAUCUGUCCAGGCCUUGCUCAGACUCCUCCCUCCUCUGUGAAAGCUUCCUGGAUCCUUCCAGCUCAUGGUAGUCUGUUUUUUGUGUUUACUGCUCAAGUACUGGAGAAUGGUGCAAAUACUUAGACUCUCUCAUAUCCAAUCACUUCAAAGGGUGUUUUUUGUUAUGAAAUAAAUGCUUGUUUGCUAGAGACAAUUGGGAAAAUCUGUAACAGUUUAAGACAGGAAAUAAGUCACCUGCUGCCAUUAUUAUAUCCUUCCAGUCUUCCUGUUUUUGUUGUCUAUAGAUAUAUACAUGUAUAUGUAAACAGUUGGCUUCCAGAGAAUAAAACUUAGCCCUAGUCCUCCCAGGGCAUGCAUCUGCCUGAGAAGAGAUUAAGAUACGUUCGCAGAAGGAAUUCAGAGGGAAAGUACAAUAUGACAUUUAGCCUUAGUCAUGCAAAAUAGGAUUUUUCACAAAAGCAGGGUAUUAAAUGUUUUGUCUAAGGUUCCUUAUUAGCUUCCUAUGGCUGCCAUUACAAAUUACCACAAGCUUAGUGGUUUAGAACAACACAGAUUUAUUCUCUGACAGUUCUGGAGGUCAAAAGUCUGAAAGGAAUCUUCCAGGGCACAGGGUAUUCUUAGGAUUCCUUCUGGAGACUCCAGGGGAGGCAGUUCCUUUCCUCCUCCAGCCUCGACAAACACCCACAUUCCUUGGCUCCUGGCUCCAUCCGUCCAAUCUCUGCUUCCAUCAUUACAUCCCCUAAUUUUAACCCUCCUGCCUCCCCCUCAUAGGGACACUUGUGAUUCCUUGGGAUGAGCCAGGAUAAACUCCCCAUAUGAAGAUGCUUAACUUAAUAUUUGCAAGGUCCAUUUUACUAUGUAAAGUAACAUAGUCAAAGGUUCCUGGGAUUAGGAGAUAGGCAUCUUUCAAGGACCAUUAUUCAGUCCACCAAAGUACUCUAGAAAACAGAGCCUGGGGUAAGGAUUAUGUGCUAAUAGUUUUAUUGUGAUGUAUAAACCUAGAGUGGGAAGAAUGAGGAAAAGGGGAAGUAAAGCAACAAGUAAUGUAAGAUGAUUACUGAGUUGAUCCCUGCCUUGGGAUGCCUGGAGGAAAGACAUUGCAACUUGCUUGGCAGGUGGGUUGCUCAGCCAUGUGGAAGUCUGCAGGCAGGUUAUACAGAGAAACUGUCUCUUGGAGCAGUCAGUUGAAGGAAGGAACGAGAGGGAACUUAUCCAUUCCCUCCCAUCUCUUAUUUCGCAUGGAUCAAAGCUUGCCCCACGUGGAGUGAAUUCCUGCAUGUUUCCAGGUGGCAUCAUUCGGGCCCUUUGAGAGUUCUUUGGAAGGCGGGUCCUGUGCCCUUAGUGCUCUUUUUACCUGAUUCCGGAGGUAGUGGGAGGAACCAAAACGCUGAGCAUUUGGUCAACCUGAGGGGCCCAUAGGAAACUGGUGGCCAAGACAGAGCAGUCAGCUGAGGAGCCAGGUUGCAGGUGGAGCCAAAAGAAGCUAAGAAGGUGAAGUCAGGAGAAUCUGAAGGAGCCCCUGAGAUGUAUCCAACACAUUGCACCCCUUGAAUCUCUUGAUCCAUCAGACCCUCCCAUUAUAUCCUCUUCCAGAUUACAAUAUCAAGUGUGCAGUUGUUUUUUGAGAAUAAGACGCCUUCACUUCUCCCUGAGGGGGGGGGGUAAAAAUCCAGUCAGUCACAGAGUCCCUUUAGGUUCUGGCCAGUCUAAAUUUCCAGUAAAACUUAAGGUUAAUAGAGCAAGUUACAUCCCCACUGUGCUGGUCCCAAGGCCAUGACCAACAUUCAUCAUUCCAUCCGUUCUAGGCCUCUCUCCCCCUUGGCCUGCACUUCUGCUGAUCUGCAUUACUAGAGCUGGGUGUGCCCUGUCUAGUUAAAUGGGAAAUGAUGAUUUAACGCCUAAAUAUUAUUCUCUUCAGAGUGACUUCCCUGGGGGUUGGAGCCUCAAUCUGAAAAAUUGGCUCUGUGUUGUGUCAAAAAAUAAAUGAGGCUCUUCCUCUCAUGUCCACUGUGUAGAUUAGGUUGCAAUGGGUAUAGGACCUCAGGAUCAGAUACUGCUGCCUUUUGCAGCUGAAUCAUUGGCAACCUUAUUGAUCAUGGUUCCCUGCUGACUUAGCGUCACAGGGCUAACACAGUUUUGCAAACAGAAAUAAUCAACAGAUAUGCCAUGGAGUAGAGUGGAAUUCAUUACAGGCUACUGCGAGGAGCCAUAGGUGUUUGGGAAGGAACUCAAGGAUGGAAAGCUGCUAGGGAAACAGCUCUUAUAUUAAAAUUACUUUAGCAAUAGCUAUCAUUUACCACCAAUGUGCCAGGAGCUCUGAGGCCCUCUUCUAAAAUAGUUGAUAAGAAAGACAACAUUGAAAUAACCUCAGGAUCUAAGAUAAAAAUGGCUUAGUAGAUGCAAACUAUAGCAUUUGGAGUGGAAAAGCAAUGAGGUCCUACUAUACAGCACAGGAAACUAUAUUCAGUCACCUGUGAUGAAACGUAAUGGAAGAUAACAUGAGAAAAAGAAUGUAUGUAUAUGUAUCACUGGGUCGCUUUGCUGUAUAGCAGAAAUUGACAGAACUUUGUAACUCAACUAUAUAAAAUAUUUUAAAAUACAGCCUGUACUUGAGCCAUCUAGUUAAAUCAAUAUUCUUAUUUUUUUCACGUACAUAUGUAGUUACUUCAUAUUCCUUAUAAUCUUACAGCUAUAACUUAAAAUAUUACUUUCCACAUUUUCACCUUAAUUUUUACCACAAAAAUACUUACAUUUUGUGAAAAUCUGUUUACCUCCCUGUUUUCCGACCUUCUCUUUGCCCACACUGUAACCAGCAUAAAAAGCCUGAGAACAUCUCUCUACAUCUCUCUGUUCAUUUAAAAAUAAUAAUAGUAACAAUAAUAGCAAACACUUACUUCAUGCUUAUUAUAAGGUAGGCAUUUUUUUAACCACAUUAGCUGCUAUAGCUCAUUUAAUCAUCACAAUUUUAUGAGGGAAAUACUCAUGUUAUCCUCAGUUUACACAUAAAGGACCUGAGGGCCAGCAUACACAGAAUAUUCAAAAUUAUAAACAAAUACAUAGACACAAACAAAGGAAGACUUUUUGGUCAUUGAAAAUAAAUAGGAAAAGUGGAAUACACUGAAUACAUCUCACUGCAGUAGCUUUUCCAGUAGAGGAUAGAUUGCCCUCUCUCCAGGUCAGAAGACCCAGCUCUAACUAAUUUUUUUUUUUUUUUUGUCUUUUGUUUUUUUAGGGCCACACUCGCGCAUAUGAAAGUUCCCAGG